AGCUCAGAUCUACGGAGGAGGACGCUGAACACAGUGAGCUGCUACCUGCUGCUACUUACAUCCCGCCCAACUGGCUUGGAGGACUGAGAGUGGGAAAUACAGAUGGAAAGAAUAAGCCUAAAAUAAAAUAGUCUUUUUACCCUGAUAA
rnacentral:lncRNA from 1 species